UGGGGGAUAUUGCACAAUGGGGGAAACCCUGAUGCAGCGACGCCGCGUGGGCGAGGAAGUGCCUCGGUAUGUAAAGCCCUAUCAGCAGGGAAGAAAAUGACGGUACCUGAGUAAGAAGCACCGGCUAAAUACGUGCCAGCAGCCGCGGUAAUACGUAUGGUGCAAGCGUUAUCCGGAUUUACUGGGUGUAAAGGGAGCGCAGGCGGCGCGGCAAGUCUGGUGUGAAAACCCGGGGCUCAACCCCGGGAGUGCAUUGGAAACUACCGUGCUGGAGUGUCGGAGGGGCAAGUGGAAUUCCUAGUGUAGCGGUGAAAUGCGUAGAUAUUAGGAGGAACACCAGUGGCGAAGGCGGCUUGCUGGACGAUGACUGACGCUGAGGCUCGAAAGCGUGGGGAGCAAACAGG
rnacentral:rRNA from 1 species